UACAGAGGGUGCAAGCGUUGUUCGGAAUUAUUGGGCGUAAAGGGCAGGUAGGUGGUCUUAAAAGUCUACUGUGAAAUCCCUGGGCUUAACCCAGGAAGUGCGGUGGAUACUCUAAGACUUGAGUGCCGGAGGGGUGCGUGGAAUUCCGAGUGUAGCGGUGAAAUGCGUAGAGAUCGGAAAGAACACCAACGGCGAAAGCACUCUGCUGGGCCGACACUGACACUGAGAGACGAAAGCUAGGGGAGCGAAUGGG
rnacentral:rRNA from 1 species